rnacentral:lncRNA from 1 species
CUCGCCUCCCGCCUCCCUUUCUCCCCCUCCAGUUCCGCGGGCUCCGUGCGCCUCUCCCUCUCCCUCCCGGUCCUCCCGCUGCCCGUCUCUCUCCACUGCCCGCCUCUCGCCACUGCCUCGCGUCUUCUCUCCCUCACGGCAGCCUCGGUCUCUUUCUCCCUCUCUCCUUUGAAAACUGAUCUUUGGCUCUUAGUGUGAAAGUGAUUUGAAUUUGGCUCGGCGGCGCUCUGCGCCUGCGCUCAGCCUCUGGCAUGCUGGCUCCUUCCAAGCAGCUGUUUUGGGUUUGAAAUUCCAACAUGGCAGAGGCUGCAGUCCGUCUUCCCUUCAAAAACUUGGAAUGAUUUCAAAUCAUAGGCACCUUCACUUAACCCUAGCUUCCAUUCAUCAGCAAACACAUCGGAUCGAUGCUACGCUAACCUAUCGGGUUCUCGCUCUGCGCGUUCAGGUAAGAGGAGCUUCGUAGUUUUCUACCAUCUGUUUAAAUUUGUUUUUGUUUUUGUUUUAUUUUUAAAGAAUAUAAAUAGAUCCAAGAACUGUAAUAAAAAGAGAUCUCCGAGUUGUGCCGUAAACAUUAAAUUUAAUUUGCAUUCGUUUCUAUUCGGUACGCCAACCUGCUGUCUAAUUUCUCUGUACAAAGUAGCCCUGAAACAUUAUAAUGCAUAUUUUAGCUGCUUAAUCAUUGUAACAAUAGUAUGGGAUUAAGAAUUCGCGAUUGAAAGAAUCUCGUUUUUCGCUAUAUUGGGCUUACUUAUUACUAUCUUUUUUUUACUUCAAAAAUAAAAUAAAAAGAAAGCGGAGCCAUAGGGUGGGGCUAGACUUUCUUCGGGAACUAACUUCUAAGUAAAUAAGAAGUGUAAAUAAGAAUCUUGCACACACACGAAAAGUUGAGGUUAAAUUACAAUCUCGUGGCUGGGGGAACCAGAAAAAUGUCACAAGCUCGGUUGCAAAAAAAAAAUGUAAGCACAUCAUUUGGAGGGGGUACAGCGUGGUGGGCGUAUUGUUGGCAAGGAAUGGGAGAGAAAGAUGUAUAAUUUAAUGGUAUAUACAAUCCACUGAUCCUAUUACCGUCCUCCCCGGAGCUCUUGUUAGUUUCAAUGGGAGUGAGUGAAAUUGACAUGGACUUGCAUUCCUGGUCAUGUGCUUUUUUUCCUUUCUUUCUUCUCCUGUGAUCUGAGAUCCCCUUUUUGUUGAUGUUGCUUUCCCCCUUAAUUAUAUGCAUGUAGGUUAAAUGAAUACCUGACGAAAGGGCCCACGUUUCAAGGCAGUGACAUUUGAUAGCUGAGAGGAAAAGUGGCUUUAAUGAAAAGCAACCUUUGGAAUUCCUGCUUGUGAGAAAUCCAAUUCAGCUUUUUGUGCUGCCAGCAAGAAAUGAUCAGUAGCACCAGUGUUUAUGGUAUGUCAGUUUUGGAAUUUACUUCCUUUGCAUCUAAAUAGGA